GGUUGUGGCUCAGUGGUAGAGCGCUUGCCUAGCAUGUAUGAGGCACUGGGUUCAAUUCUCAGCACCA
rnacentral:tRNA from 1 species